GAUCUUACCUGGCGCUGGGUUCAGGGUGAUCAAGAAUGCUCUGACCCCCGGGUGGAGGCUCACCAUUGCACCUCGGUGAGUUGAAACUCGCAACGGAUCCAAAUCGGGUGCGCUCGGGCUUGUAGGUUUUGUCAGNNNNNN
rnacentral:snRNA from 15 species